GGUGAGGGGGAGAAAAUAUUUUCUUCAAGAAAAAAAAAAGGGUGGAAGUUGGGGGGGGUCCCCACCAGAGAGAAGCCCCGCGCAAAUCUGGGGCCAAGCAGCCGGGGGUAAAUACGGAGGGUCCCAAGCUUUUGUUCGGAAUUUAUUGGGGCGAAAAAGAGCGGUGUAGGCGGCUUUGGUAAAUUCAAGAUGUGAAACCCCUGGGCUCAACCCCAGGAAGUGCAUUUGAAACUACCAGACUUGAGUACGGGAGAGGAGGGGGGAAUUCCCGGUGUAGAGGUGAAAUUCGUAGAUAUCGGGAGGAAUACCGGUGGCGAAGGCGCCCCUCUGGACCGAUACUGACGCUGAGACGCGAAAGCGUGGGGAGCAAACAGGAUUAGAUACCCUGGUAGUCCACGCCGUAAACGAUGUCGACCAGCCGUUGGGUGCCUAGCGCACUUUGUGGCGAAGUUAACGCGAUAAGUCGACCGCCUGGGGAGUACGGCCGCAAGGUUAAAACUCAAUGAAUUGACGGGGGCCCGCACAAGCGGUGGAGCAUGUGGUUUAAUUCGAUGCAACGCGAAGAACCUUACCUACUCUUGACAUCCUGCGAAUUUGGUAGAGAUACCUUAGUGCCUUCGGGAACGCAGAGACAGGUGCUGCAUGGCUGUCGUCAGCUCGUGUUGUGAAAUGUUGGGUUAAGUCCCGUAACGAGCGCAACCCUUGUCCUUAUUUGCCAGCGCGUAAUGGCGGGAACUCUAAGGAGACUGCCGGUGACAAACCGGAGGAAGGUGGGGACGACGUCAAGUCAUCAUGGCCCUUACGAGUAGGGCUACACACGUGCUACAAUGGUCGGUACAAAGGGUUGCCAACUCGCGAGAGUGAGCCAAUCCCGAAAAGCCGAUCUCAGUCCGGAUCGGAGUCUGCAACUCGACUCCGUGAAGUCGGAAUCGCUAGUAAUCGUGGAUCAGAAUGCCACGGUGAAUACGUUCCCGGGCCUUGUACACACCGCCCGUCACACCAUGGGAGUGGACUGCACCAGAAGUGGUUAGCCUAACGCAAGAGGGCGAUCACCACGGUGUGGUUCAUGACUGGGGUGAAGUCGUAACAAGGUAGCCGUA
rnacentral:rRNA from 1 species